rnacentral:rRNA from 1 species
GAGUUUGAUUAUGGCUCAGGGUGAACGCUGGCGGCGUGCUUAACACAUGCAAGUCGUGCGGGUAUCCGCAAGGAUACCAGCGGCGCACGGGUGAGUAACACGUAGGUAACCUGCCCUUCAGAGGGGAAUAACCGGGGGAAACUCCGGCUAAUGCCCCAUACGAUCCAGCAGCGAUGGCUGCUGGAUGAAAGGAGCGUUUGCUUCGCUGAAGGAUGGGCCUGCGUCCCAUCAGGUAGUUGGUGAGGUAACGGCUCACCAAGCCUACGACGGGUAGCCGACCUGAGAGGGUGGCCGGCCACAAGGGCACUGAGACACGGGCCCUACUCCUACGGGAGGCAGCAGUGGGGAAUUUUGGACAAUGGGCGAAAGCCUGAUCCAGCGACGCCGCGUGGGGGACGAAGCCCUUCGGGGUGUAAACCCCUGUUGUGAGGUCGAAUAAGGUCUGGAGGAAAUGCCAGAUCGAUGACGGUACCUCACGAGAAAGCCCCGGCUAACUACGUGCCAGCAGCCGCGGUAAUACGUAGGGGGCGAGCGUUACCCGGAUUCACUGGGCGUAAAGGGGGCGUAGGCGACUUAGUGUGUCGGGUGUGAAAUCCCACGGCUCAACCGUGGAAUUGCGCCCGAAACUACUAGGUUUGGGGCCGGUAGAGGGAGAUGGAACUGCUGGUGUAGGGGUGAAAUCCGUAGAUAUCAGCAGGAACGCCGGUGGGGAAGCCGGUCUCCUGGGCCGUGCCCGACGCUGAGGCCCGAAAGCUAGGGGAGCAAACCGGAUUAGAUACCCUGGUAGUC